UCCCUGGUGGCUCAGAGGUUAAAGCGUCUGCCUGUAAUGCAGGAGACCCGAGUUCGAUCCCUGGGCUGGGAA
rnacentral:tRNA from 1 species